UAAAAGGGCGUUUGUCACUUACAUGACAUGCAGUCGUGACAUGCUGUAGGGUAUGGCCAUCAAGACAUACUCAACGCAUAAUAUUUGGAAACGUGGGGCUGUUGGCUGCCAAUAUGCACCGACGCCCCC